AAUGAACGCUGGCGGCGCGCCUAAUACAUGCAAGUCGAGCGAGAAGACGUAGCAAUACGUUUGUAAAGCGGCGAACGGGUGAGGAAUACAUGGGUAACCUACCCUCGAGUGGGGAAUAACUAGCCGAAAGGUUAGCUAAUACCGCGUACGCUUCUUGGACUUCGGUUCAGGGAGGGAAGCGAUGCCGAGGGUAUCGCGCUCUUGGAUGGGCUCAUGUCCUAUCAGCUUGUUGGGAGGUACGCUCA
rnacentral:rRNA from 1 species